rnacentral:rRNA from 1 species
UACGUAGGGGGCAAGCGUUGUCCGGAAUCAUUGGGCGUAAAGCGCGCGUAGGCGGCCCGGUAAGUCCGCUCUGAAAGUCCAGGGCUUAACCCUGGAAAGCGGGUGGAUACUGCCGGGCUUGAAUCCGGAAGAGGCGAGUGGAAUUCCUGGUGUAGCGGUGGAAUGCGCAGAUAUCAGGAGGAACACCAAUGGCGAAGGCAGAUCUCUGGGCCGUAACUGACGCUGAGGAGCGAAAGCAUGGGGGAGCGAACAGG